UACGUAGGGCGCAAGCGUUAUCCGGAAUUAUUGGGCGUAAAGAGCUCGUAGGCGGUCUGUCGCGUCUGCUGUGAAAUCCCGAGGCUCAACCUCGGGCUUGCAGUGGGUACGGGCAGACUAGAGUGCUGUAGGGGAGACUGGAAUCCCUGGUGUAGCGGUGAAAUGCGCAGAUAUCAGGAGGAACACCGGUGGCGAAGGCGGGUCUCUGGGCCGAUACUGACGCUGAGGAGCGAAAGCGUGGGGAGCGAACAGG
rnacentral:rRNA from 1 species